rnacentral:rRNA from 1 species
UACGUAGGGUGCAAGCGUUGUCCGGAAUUAUUGGGCGUAAAGAGCUCGUAGGCGGCUUGUCGCGUCGUCCGUGAAAACCCACAGCUCAACUGUGGGCUUGCGGUCGAUACGGGCAGGCUAGAGUUCGGUAGGGGAGACUGGAAUUCCUGGUGUAGCGGUGAAAUGCGCAGAUAUCAGGAGGAACACCGGUGGCGAAGGCGGGUUGCUGGGCUGACACUGACGCUGAUGCGCGAAAGCCAGGGGAGCGAACGGG